GAAUAAACAUAGAUAUGCCGUGUCGUCAGGUACUAUUGUACAAGUAAUAUUAUCAAGGAGACCAUGGAUUUUUUUAAACUUGUUUUGUUUAUAUACCUGAUCAAAGAUGCACAUCCUUUUGUGGUUCUGAUCCUUCAUGUAUCAAAGUAACAACAAAGUCCGCUAGGUCUAUACAUGUUGCAUGGGAUACAACAAAAACAAGCUGUGGUUAUACUAUAAUUGGAUACAUAGUUUAUUUCAACAGCUUGUCUCCAGUCAAGAAUUACAAAGAUAAAGAUGUUUUAGGAGCAACAACUGACAAUGUGAACAUUUACCCUAUUGUACCAGGAUUUUCUUAUAAUAUAUUUGUCAAGGCUGUUACGGCAAACGGGAUAGUAUCAAGUCAGACUUCUACUAAUUAUACACACCCACACACUCGUCCUAGUGCUACACCUAGUAAUUUUCAUGCAUCUGUACAAGGAACAACAUCUUUAACAAUUACCUGGGAUGCAUAAGGUGUUUUGACAAAAAACGGAGACGUUUGGGGAUACCAGAUUUAUUAUCGAGGUCCAGGGCUUACAGGGACGCAAAGAGUAACCAUCCUUGGUGAAGAUAAUCGUCAAUAUACUACAACUGGUCUGAAGCCAAAUAGUACAUACCAGUUUGUUGUACAAGUCGUGAAUGAUGUUGGACCUGGUCCAUACAGUGCAUUCAUACCUAUCAACACAGCACCACCGUUACAUAUUAUGCAGAAAAAAUGAUACCAUAAAUGUUGUUAUGAUAAAAGAAGAUAGAGAAUUGAUACAUUUAUGUUUAGUUGACUGUAUAUAAUAUAGCAUUCCAUUUGCAUUGUUUUCAACAGAAAGGUCAAAUGAAAAAGUAAUAAGAAUGAAUAUGUAGGCUACUUACCAAAUAUUAGUUUUAUUCAACGGCAUUUACAGUUGGUUGCCAGUUAUGGAAUAUCACUUUCACACGUGACAACGGAUAUGUAUGCAUUUUUCGUAAACUUUUCCCAAUUGAGACGAUCCGAGGUUUGUUCUUACAUGAGCAAGGCACCAGGUUCACAUGUGGAGCAGGAUCUGCUUACCCUUCUGGAGCACCUGAGAUCACACCAAUGUUUUGUUAGUUCUUGUUGCUCAGUCUUUUGGGGUUUUUUUGUAAAAGGGGCUAUAUAAUAAUUGUUGGGGCAACUCUAUUACAUUUAAAUACAUUCAAAGUUUUUAGUUUUGAAUUAGUUGUCUUUGUUAGAAUUUAUCAUUGGAGUUAUUUAGAACUUGAAAUAAUUUUUAAUUAUAUUUUUUGACAACAUUGUUUAAUUAAAAAUGAUUACAAGGUCUCCAACAAUAAAGGAUUAGUUUAAAUAAAGGCAACAGUAGUAUACCGCUGUUCGAAACUCAUAAAUCGAUAGAAAAAAAAACAAAUCCGGAUUACAAACUUAAACUAAAGGAGGGGCGAAAGAUAUCAGAAGAACAGCCAAACUCAUAAAUUGAAAAUAUACUGACAACUCCAUGGCUAGCAAUGAAUUACACAAUAAACAUAGAUAACUAAAGACUGAGCAACACGAACCCCACCAAAAACUAGGAUGAUUAACAGUUGAAGUAAAAAGGAAGAUAGCGACGCAAAUAAUGGGGUCGAAUAUCCCAUUCCAAACGACGAUCAAACACCAACAAAGCUAAGCUCUAUCACAAGAUAAACUGGACUGUUGUGUUUACUUAUCGCUACACUGUACGUUGCGAAGCUAUAGAUGGA